AUUGAACGCUGGCGGCAGGCCUAACACAUGCCAGUCGAGCGGAUGAAGGGAGCUUGCUCCUGGAUUCAGCGGCGGACGGGUGAGUAAUGCCUAGGAAUCUGCCUGGUAGUGGGGGAUAACGUCCGGAAACGGGCGCUAAUACCGCAUACGUCCUGAGGGAGAAAGUGGGGGAUCUUCGGACCUCACGCUAUCAGAUGAGCCUAGGUCGGAUUAGCUAGUUGGUGGGGUAAAGGCCUACCAAGGCGACGAUCCGUAACUGGUCUGAGAGGAUGAUCAGUCACACUGGAACUGAGACACAGUCCAGACUCCUGCAGGAGGCAGCAGUGGGGAAUAUUGGACGAUGGGCGAAAGCCUGAUCCAGCCAUGCCGCGUGUGUGAAGAAGGUCUUCGGAUUGUAAAGCACUUUAAGUUGGGAGGAAGGGCAGUAAGUUAAUACCUUGCUGUUUUGACGGUACCAACAGAAUAAGCACCGGCUAACUUCGUG
rnacentral:rRNA from 1 species